rnacentral:misc_RNA from 1 species
UCCGGCUUAUCACCGGCAGUUUCUUUAGAGUGCCCAACUAAAUGGUAGCAACUAAAGACGAGGGUUGCGCUCGUUGCGGGACUUAACCCAACAUCUCACGACACGAGCUGACGACAGCCAUGCAGCACCUGUGUCCAGGCCCCGUAAGGGGAGGAAGGCAUCUCUGCCAACCGUCCUGGCAUGUCAAACGCUGGUAAGGUUCUGCGCGUUGCUUACAGCGUAC